CCUAUAGGAGAUUUUACUCGUGAUUAGGGUUUUUCAGUAACCCUAUAAAUAAGAACGAGAGGGUUAGCAUUCGUCUCUCUCAAAUUUGCCAACCAGAAAACUUUGGUUACAUACAGAAAUUGCCGAUCUGAGAGACAGACGCCGAAACUGAUUCAAGAUGCGAGCUAAGUGGAAGAAGAAGAGAAUGAGGAGGUUGAAGAGGAAGCGCCGAAAGAUGAGACAGAGAUCCAAGUAGGCUACUGGUCUGAUGAACUGAUUUGUUUAAUCCUGCUGCUUUCGGUUGAGUCCGGUGGGUAUCAGGGAAGAGCUUCAUUGGUUUGUUGUCCAGCUAGUCAGGCUAGUUAUAGUUUUAGCUUGAGAUUAAUGUUUCUGCAAUUUGGAUUUUUUAAACGGUUUUGGUUAUGUAAUAGACUUGAUAUUCUAGUAUGCUUUUUAAAUGGAUUAUGCUACUUUUUCACUUAA